rnacentral:lncRNA from 1 species
UUUGUCCUAAAUUAGUCUCAGGCCCCUUUGUACUGUUAAUAUUGAUUGUUGUUAGGUAUAAUGGAGCCAUGAAAUCCAUGUUCUUCUUCGAGACCCCUGCAAGACGACUUAUUUUUGUGAUGAGACCACAGACAUCAUACUUGUUACCCUUGUGGACACGAUACUUCUACAUCGUUGAUUUAAUGAUAUCUCCAUUGUUGAUAUUUAUAUCCAUCAUCUACUCAUACAAUAAGCACACGUAAUCUAGAAGGAUGUAUAUGAAAUAUAGGCUUGGUACUAGAUAUUUCAUCACUACCUUCAACGACGCCCGCGUGUCUUAAUGAUGUGAGAAUAUGAAAGAUAUUUGUGAUAUCUCUUCCUAUUGUGAUUUUUCCACUAGGCUAUGGACUCCGUUCCAUAUAGUAAAUGUCAGAUGGCUUGGUGGUGGGACCUCAUAUUCAGCCUAGUCAACAUCAAAAUAUAAAUUUUCUCCACAAUACCAAGAAUAUCAUUGAUUCUCGUGGGUAUAAUAGCAACAUUCUAACCACAAACAAUAAAAUAAUAAGCACGGGUUUUCGGCACCCAGUUGUCAUAGAACUCACAUAGUAUACUGAGGAAGCAUUCGUCCGGCUGAACAGAUUCAAACUCCAUUAUAAGAGCUCUUAUCCUCAUGAAGAUAUGCAGGAACUCACGAGCUAGGCUAUCCCAAUUAAUGCGGAUAUUGGAGAAUUAAGAAGCCACGAUGCUUCUGAUACAAACUUUUUCCUUCCUUCAACACGACCUUUGCUAUAUAUCCCUUGGUUUGCCUUUUAGGAAUUGGAGGUACUAUUUGUACAUUUCCGCUUCAUAUCCAGUUCCAUUGGGAAGGCUGAGCCACAGUUUGCCAGGACGUUGUGAUGUACACAUGGUACCUACAAGUUAUAUCAAAGUGUAACCCCAAGUGCAACAUCAAAAAUUAAUAUAUGGGUGGUGUGUGCAAUACCCCACACUUAGUCCAAGGUAAUUCUAACUUUUGUACUCAGCGUCCUCAAUAAGAUAAUGCAUAACAUAUUUAAGCAGGCACCCGGUUCGUCAACAAGGAUAAACCACACAUAGAAAUAAGGAAAAAUUACCUAUAUACACAUUUUUAUUUUCCUCAUUUUCCAUUAUUCCCUACUAUUUAAAAAUAUUUCUGAAAUCCCUUAUUUUUUCGAUUCUUCAGUUAACAUAUACAUUUCACCUAAAAAACAAACACAUGUUUCCUUUCCUAUUUUUGCUCCAUAAAUAUAUCGUUUAUUUCACUCUCUUAAUAUGAUCCUCAAUACUAUUUUGAAUUUUAAAAGGUUUCUCUCUCUAGUUACAAUAAAUUUCAAAUCACGUUUUCAUCUAUUCCAUUCGACUGUUAUUCUAUUUGCUUUGAAGUUUUUAUCUUCUUCAUCUUACAUUGAUUAAAUUAAUCUCAUCUAAGAUUAACAAUGCUAGUGCUUAUGAGAACGACGUCCUUUCUAAUUAAUUCUCUAUCAACACUGAAUACAAUCCCUAAUAUAAGUCAUUUUUUUCAAUCGAGGUGAAUUUUUCUAAUUCAUUUUAGGUACGGGUGUUUUUGAAUAUCCUUUCAAUGGUACAAGAGCGAUAGAAAGGAGUGAUCGUCAAUUCAAGAUAAACAAUAUUGAUUCAACAGGUUUUAAUGAGUAUGAUAUAUAAAAUUUUGACAGAUCGUUGAUAUUUUCCUUUGUUAGUUGUUUUUAAAAUCAAAUAUAUUAAUGACAAAGUGUUGUUCUCGUAUUGAAAUGUAUAAUAAGUUAAAUCAUUAUAUAGAAACGUAAAACUCUAAUUUUAUUCUCAUUUUGAAUAGGUAUUACGAAUAUAUGAAAUUAUAAAAUUCACAUUCUAGAAAAUGCUAUAGUUUGUAGAAUGUUGUAUCACAUAUAAUAUGAUUAUACAUGAUACAUUUGUGAAGUUCAAUCCAUAUUUUUAACAUAAUUUUUUGACACAUUUACACUUUGUCAAGUUGUAAUGAGUAUCUAUAUCA